rnacentral:rRNA from 2 species
GGGUUGUGAGGUUAAGCGACUAAGCGUACACGGUGGAUGCCCUGGCAGUCAGAGGCGAUGAAGGGCGUGCUAAUCUGCGAUAAGCGCCGGUAAGGUGAUAUGAACCGUUAUAACCGGCGAUACCCGAAUGGGGAAACCCAGUGUGAUUCGUCACACUAUCAUUAACUGAAUCCAUAGGUUAAUGAGGCGAACCGGGGGAACUGAAACAUCUAAGUACCCCGAGGAAAAGAAAUCAACCGAGAUUCCCCCAGUAGCGGCGAGCGAACGGGGAGGAGCCCAGAGCCUGAAUCAGCAUGUGUGUUAGUGGAAGCGUCUGGAAAGGCGCGCGAUACAGGGUGACAGCCCCGUACACAAAAGCGCAUGUGUUGUGAGCUCGAUGAGUAGGGCGGGACACGUGGUAUCCUGUCUGAAUAUGGGGGGACCAUCCUCCAAGGCUAAAUACUCCUGACUGACCGAUAGUGAACCAGUACCGUGAGGGAAAGGCGAAAAGAACCCCGGCGAGGGGAGUGAAAAAGAACCUGAAACCGUGUACGUACAAGCAGUGGGAGCACCCUUUGGGGUGUGACUGCGUACCUUUUGUAUAAUGGGUCAGCGACUUAUAUUCUGUAGCAAGGUUAACCGAAUAGGGGAGCCGGAGGGAAACC